rnacentral:rRNA from 1 species
UAACACAUGUCAAGUCGAACGAAGCCUUCGGGCUUAGUGGCGCACGGGUGCGUAACGCGUGGGAAUCUGCCCUUGGGUUCGGAAUAACAGUGAGAAAUUACUGCUAAUACCGGAUGAUGUCUUCGGACCAAAGAUUUAUCGCCCAAGGAUGAGCCCGCGUUAGAUUAGCUAGUUGGUGGGGUAAUGGCCUACCAAGGCGACGAUCUAUAGCUGGUCUGUAGAGGAUGAUCAGCCACACUGGGACUGAGACACGGCCCAGACUCCUACGGGAGGCAGCAGUGGGGAAUAUUGGACAAUGGGCGAAAGCCUGAUCCAGCAAUGCCGCGUGAGUGAUGAAGGCCUUAGGGUUGUAAAGCUCUUUUACCAGGGAUGAUAAUGACAGUACCUGGAGAAUAAGCUCCGGCUAACUCCGUGCCAGCAGCCGCGGUAAUACGGAGGGAGCUAGCGUUGUUCGGAAUUACUGGGCGUAAAGCGCGCGUAGGCGGUUUUUCAAGUCAGAGGUGAAAGCCCGGGGCUCAACCCCGGAACUGCCUUUGAACUGGAUGACUAGAAUCUUGGAGAGGCGAGUGGAAUUCCGAGUUGUAGAGGUGAAAUUCGUAGAUAUUCGGAAGACACCAGUGGCGAAGCGACUCGCUGGACAAGUAUUGACGCUGAGGUGCGAAGUGUG